GAUGAACGCUGGCGGCGUGCUUAACACAUGCAAGUCGAACGGAAAGGCCAGUGCUUGCACUGGUACUCGAGUGGCGAACGGGUGAGUAACACGUGGGUGAUCUGCCCUGCACUUCGGGAUAAGCCUGGGAAACUGGGUCUAAUACCGGAUAGGACAAUGGUUUGGAUGCCGUUGUGGAAAGUUUUUUCGGUGUGGGAUGAGCUCGCGGCCUAUCAGCUUGUUGGUGGGGUAAUGGCCUACCAAGGCGUCGACGGGUAGCCGGCCUGAGAGGGUGUACGGCCACAUUGGGACUGAGAUGCGGCCCAGACUCCUACGGGAGGCAGCAGUGGGGAAUAUUGCACAAUGGGCGCAAGCCUGAUGCAGCGACGCCGCGUGGGGGAUGACGGCCUUCGGGUUGUAAACUCCUUUCGCUAGGGACGAAGCGUAUUUGUGAAGGUACCUGGAGAAGAAGCACCGGCGAACUACGU
rnacentral:rRNA from 1 species